AGCAGCCGCGGUAAUUCCAACUCCAAUAGCGUAUAUUAAAGUUGCUGCAGUUAAAAAGCUCGUAGUUGAAUUUCGGGAUCAAUAUGUUGGUCGUGCCUCGGUACGUACUAGCUUAUUGGUUUCUUCCUUCUGACGAACCAUAAUGUCAUUUAUUUGGUGUUAUGGGGAAUCAGGACUGUUACUUUGAAAAAAUUAGAGUGUUUAAAGCAGGCUCACGCUUGAAUACAUUAGCAUGGAAUAAUGAAAUAGGACGUUUGAUUCUAUUUUGUUGGUUUCUAGGAUCGACGUAAUGAUUAAUAGGGAUAGUUGGGGGCAUUAGUAUUCAAUUGUCAGAGGUGAAAUUCUUGGAUUUAUUGAAGACUAACUACUGCGAAAGCAUUUGCCAAGGAUGUUUUCAUUAAUCAAGAACGAAAGUUAGGGGGAUCGAAGACGAUCAGAUACCGUCGUAGUCUUAACCAUAAACUAUGCCGACUAGGGAUCGGAUGAUGUUAAUUUUUUAAUGACUCAUUCGGCGCCUUUA
rnacentral:rRNA from 1 species